UAUUUUUGUCCUGGCUCAGAGCUGAACGCUGGCGUGUAGCCUAACACAUGCAAGUCGAACGGCAGCACAGGAGAGCUUGCUCUCUGGGUGGCGAGUGGCGGACGGGUGAGGAAUACAUCGGAAUCUACUCUGUCGUGGGGGAUAACGUAGGAAACUUACGCUAAUACCGCAUACGACCUACGGGUGAAAGCAGGGGAUCUUCGGACCUUGCGCGAUUGAAUGAGCCGAUGUCGGAUUAGCUAGUUGGCGGGGUAAAGGCCCACCAAGGCGACGAUCCGUAGCUGGUCUGAGAGGAUGAUCAGCCACACUGGAACUGAGACACGGUCCAGACUCCUACGUGGAGUGCAGCAGUGGGGAAUAUUGGACAAUGGGCGCAAGCCUGAUCCAGCCAUACCGCGUGGGUGAAGAANGNCUUCGGGUUGUAAAGCCCUUUUGUUGGGAAAGAAAUCCAGC
rnacentral:rRNA from 1 species